rnacentral:tRNA from 1 species
CCUCUCAUGGCGUAGUGGUUAACGCGCCCCAACUAGAGUCGUGAGUUCGAUUCUCACUGAGAAGA